rnacentral:rRNA from 1 species
AGGACGAACGCUGGCGGCGUGCUUAACACAUGCAAGUCGAGCGGUAAGGCCUUUCGGGGUACACGAGCGGCGAACGGGUGAGUAACACGUGGGUGAUCUGCCCUGCACUUCGGGAUAAGCCUGGGAAACUGGGUCUAAUACCGGAUAUGACCUCCUAUCGCAGUGGUGGGGUGGUAGGAAAGAUUUAUCGGUGCAGGAUGGGCCCGCGGCCUAUCAGCUUGGUUGGGUGGGUAAUCGGACCUACCGAAGGCGACGGACGGGUAGCCGACCUGAGGAGGGUCGACCGGCCACACGUGGGACUGACGACACCGGCCAGACUCCGUACGGGA